AUUGAACGCUGGCGGCAGGCCCAACACAUGCAAGUCGAACGAGUGGCGGACGGGUGAGUAAUGUGUGGGAAACUGCGUGAUGGAGGGGGAUAACUACUGGAAACGGUAGCUAAUACCGCAUACCAUCAGAUGUGCCCCGAUGGGAUUAGCAGGUUGGGGGGGUAAGGGCUCACCAAGGCGACGAUCCCUAUCUGGCCUGAGAGGAUGCCCAGCCACGCGGGGACUGAGAACGGGUCCAGACGCCUGCGGGGGGCAGCGGUGGGGAAUAUGGCACAAUGGGCGCAAGCCUGAUGCAGCCAUGCCGCGUGUAGGAAGAGGGCCUUCGGGUUGUAAAGUUCUUUCAGCGGGGAGGCGUUACCCGCAGAAGAAGCACCGGCUAACUCCGUGCCAGCAGCCGCGGUAAUUC
rnacentral:rRNA from 1 species